rnacentral:rRNA from 1 species
UACGUAGGGGGCUAGCGUUGUCCGGAAUCAUUGGGCGUAAAGAGCGUGUAGGCGGCUCGGUAAGUCCGCUGUGAAAGUCCAGGGCUCAACCCUGGAAUGCCAGUGGAAACUGUCGAGCUAGAGUCCGGAAGAGGCGAGUGGAAUUCCUGGUGUAGCGGUGAAAUGCGCAGAUAUCAGGAGGAACACCAAUGGCGAAGGCAGCUCGCUGGGACGUACUGACGCUGAGACGCGAAAGCGUGGGGAGCAACAGG